UCCCUUGUGGUCCAGUGGUAAGGACUCCAUGCUUUCACGGUUGAGGGCCCAGGUUCAAUUCCUGGUUGGGGAA
rnacentral:tRNA from 1 species